UCCACGGACACGGGCUCCUUAUCCGUCGUCGGCUCGUCGCGGCGCGGCGGCGAUCGAAUCAACACCCAGACCCCCAAAGCCCGCCGCGCGCUGGCCCGCACCGGUGGCCUGGCCUACCGCCGCCACGCUCGAGAUUCCUAUUCCUUCGCCGUCGGUUUCGAAUCCGGAAUCCCGCGCGCCGCUGCUCCGACUCCGACCGGCCCCGCCGCCCCUUCCAUCCGUUCCGGAAUGGCUGAUGUAACAAACAUGCUUCUCGAGGAACAUGGAAUAGCUCAUACUUGUGCAUGAAUCUUCGGUCUAGUUGAUUCAGUUCAGGUAAAUUUUCCUGCAGCUUCAGCAUCUGUGCAUUGACAUAAAGAGUUAUGAGCUUCAGUUUAGCUGAAAUAGUUGCUAUAUUUUUAACUUCCUUUUAAAAAAUGAAGCUGUACCUGGAAUAGAUUGUUCAUUAGAAUAUUGAUAUCUUCCCUGUGUUCUUGAAUGAUCUCUGUUAGUCUAAUCUUGCUUAUUCUUAAGAGCUGUGAAAGGGUUGUGGUGCGGCAAGUAAACGGCUGGGGUAAGUCGCACAGAGCAGCGACCUCACCAAACAUGUCUCCCUCUUUGAUUUUUCCAUACACCUGCUUUCAGAUUACCAAGCCACUGUUAGUAAUCUGUGGAAACCUUACUGUCAUCUGAGAUGCCUGCGAUUUAAGAUGAAAAAACCUUUACCUGUUCAUUUCCAUUUACAGUUGUUAUCAAAUUCUGCAGAUAAAGCCACAUGAAAGGUUAAUUAGCUGUCUGAAAAAACUUAUGAAAAUAUGUCAGAACCAAAUCAGAGAUAAAAGCUAACCACUGCUCCUGAAACUAUUACAUAAAUAUCUGCUGCCCCUUCAUUUUGCAAUAUUAUGUCUUCCUUUGGUGGGAAAUACUCAGCUUGCACUUCCAUUACCUGAUGGCAAGGAAGUUUAUCAGCUAUGGCAGUGGAGAGUAUAGUAAAUUAGAAAAUAUUAACCAAAAUACUGAUCAUAUUAUUACCAGUUCUGCAAUGAAAUUGUUGGAUACUCCAUGAAAGAGGUAGGCUCGUUUUAUGACUGGAAAGAAUAAGUUGUAUGCUAUGCUUGAACGAAUUCCUUUUGGGAGUUCAUUUAGCAUGGCUUGCUGGUUGAGCCCCUCUGUCUUGAACUGUAGGCAGAAAUGAGAUAGCAUUUGCUGCUUUAUCUUCUCAGGCAACUGAUUUCGUGCCGCAAAUUCUGAAACUGCUUGGAUUGAGUCCCUCUGCAUCAUUCGCAAAAUUACUAAUAUGGAUCAAGUAAGCUAACUGUUUUUGUGAAGGGUUUAGUUAUUCUAUUUGCACUUGCUUUGACCUUUGUUGAAUAUUUUUCCCUUGAAUUUUAUUCUUAUUUGUUGGUGUUGUUAUUACUAAGAAUGUUUGAACGACUAAAGGAUACAACAACUUGGGCUUACAACAUACACGCAAUGACUAUCAAGAAUCAGGUUCCAUUCAUUGAUUCCCCUACCUGAUUAUUUGAUUGGAAUUGUACUGCUGGGUGUUUGUUUAAGAACUUAUUAGGAUGGCCCAGUUGGAACUAUUUGACCUUUGCAGUGUAGGACCACUAAAGCUAAACAAUGUCUCUGAUUUCCUCUCAGUUUAGUAGGUGUUAUAGCGUGUAGGGUUUUGACCUCUUGAAUUCUUCAUUUUAAUCAAUGGCAUGGUAGAAGGCAGAAAAUGCGUACGAAUAACUGCAUUAUUUGUAUAAAGUUUCACCACCGAGUCACCUAUAGCUAAAAAAGCUAGGUUGUUCCUAUCUAUUUUUUUUCUUGGCUCACUUAAGUUGUUGUCCUUUGAUGGAAACAAAUUGAAUUUGGCAUUAAUGGGUUUUGCAAAUAAGUUAAGAAACGUACAAAAUUCUGUGUGCGGCUGGUCCCAUGAACAACCAGGUUGGUCAUAUUACCAAUAAGAUAAGCUGUCAGCCCCAGAUUAAACAGCAUAUAACAGAUAUCAAACAGCAUCUCCCUUGGGUUCUCAGCAUGUAGGUCCCCAUAACCUGUUGUUGUCAGUGUUGUGAUCGACCAGUAAAGGGCAGUGACAUAUCUAGUCCAUAAGCUCUCCGAUCUGAAAGUAGGCAUAACAGCACCUAUCCAUGUUUCUUCUGGAUCAGGAUAUCUGUCAGCAAUCAUAUAGUUGAAGCAUCCCGCGCAAUGCACCGCAAACAGAGUAACCUGUGUUUUGUUAUCACAGAUUUUUCACAUUAUUAUCAGCAGGGUUUCUUCCAAUGAGGAAAGGUAAAAGCAUUUUGCAAGUUUGACAAUUUUUAUGGAGAACAUGGAAGUAAGAUCCUAAAUUUUCUGUUCCUAAGUUUCUGAAAGACUUACAGCAAUAAGUUUUGAACACCUAGUCCAGAAAUAGUUGACUCUUAUAUCCUUCUCCAGCCUGGUAAAGGAAGGUGAUUAAAUUUGUGCCAUUUGUUAUUCAUCAUCAAAAUGUGGAGAAGCUGAACUGGAUUUGAAGUUUUGAACCUGGCAAACAGCGAGCUGACUCGGUGAAGACGCCACAACCUCAACAUGUUGAGUAUCUUAAAAGCCAGGUCAUUUCCCUUGUGUGAAAACAGAAGGCUGAUUGGUUGGAAUGGAGCUGUGGAACAUACAUCAAAGAUGAACCAGGUUGAUAGGUACCUGUGGAGGAUCAUAACUUGUUAGUUCCAUAACUGAAUUACUUGGUCUUUUCUAUAUUCAAUGUGGAGUUUUGGAGAAGAAAGCAGUUAUGAACUAGGUAAGCACCUUAUUGCAAUUUUCUUUCGGUCGUCCACAAGAAGAUGUGUUUUGCUGUCCACAUAAGCUACAAAGAAUGUCAAAACAAUAUCAAUCGCAAAGAAGCCAUUGACAAUGUUCUCAACUAGCAGAAGCUUAGAGGGUAAGUCCCUCAAGAAUGCUAGUUCAAAUGGGCAAAUCCAGGCGGAGUAAAUAACUAGGACUGUAAGGAACAACUCCCAGUAUCUGAGACACACAGACAGAGCAGAGGAAAGCAUGUCAGCAGCUGCUGUUUUUUUCUCUCAACAUGAUUAGGUACAUACAGAGUGCAGGGAGAACCUCACCUAUAGCGGGGAUCAUAUGGAGAUAUGAUGAACUUCUGCAACUUGUUAGAGUGAUUUAUUGUUGCACCAAGAGAUGGCAGGAGCUCAAUCGUGAAGCUGUCGCUGCUCCUCUUAUCUUGAACUCCAUCCCAAAAUUGUUGGAAGCAUGACUUGGAAUGAGCUUGAGUCAUGCUUGCUUUUCUGUUCUUUCUUUGCCACUCAACUCUGUAUGCGUGAGGGUGUGUGGAUGCUGGCUCUUUCUCUCUCUUUCUCAAUAUAUAUAUAUAUAUAUAUAUAUGCUGCAGGUGAUGAACAUGCAAGGCUGUGGGUCAAAGCAAGGAUCUUGGAAGCAAACAAGAAGCUGAUUGUAUUUGUGCCUUACGAGGAAAACAACAGGGUGUGCUUGUUUCCUUGGUGUUGUGGGACAACUGUUAGCUGAGCCCAGUGGGCAAAGUAUAUAACACAAAAUUCUGGAAGUGCUUUUGGCUAGUUGGUGAUCAGCUACAGCUGAAGCAGUGAAGAAAUUUUCAAGAUAAUCUUUAAUGUUGAGACUUUAAGAAUGGGGCAAGCAUCCCCAGGCUCUUCUCAACCAUUUACUCUGAUGCAGUACAAACCCUUUCUAUGGGUGGUAUUAUCUACUUCAUCCUAGAAUAAUCUGUGGUGUGUGUUAUUUUGCUGGUGUGUUGUGUACUCUGCCCUUAUUUUUAAAUGGCUGGAUGAUUCGUACUAGAUUGUGGAAAAAAUUUUGCUCCCAUUUCCCAAAGAAGUAAUGAUCAUAGGUUCCCUAGUCAAAACUGGAGGAAAAGAAGAGGUAUUAUUCUCAUCAGGAAGCAACAUCCUGUAAGCUAGUCUAAUUCUCAAAUUUUUGUGCAAAUGUUAACACCAUAGCUGAAACCAUCGAUGUCAUUUCUGGAGGUAAUUUGGGGUAUGCUUAUCAUUUUUGGGUAUUCUUUCGGUUGUUGAGUUCAAGUAAGCUUUGUUGUAGUGGGAUAUGGAGGAUCCAAUCCCUUGGCCAUCUAAGCCAAUUAAUGUGGAUAAAUGGUUUAUGGACCCCUCCAAUAUAUCUUGUCAAGACUAAUCCUUGCUUCCGUGUUCUGAUGCCUACCAUUUACUGCCACCAGACUUUAGCUGGUGCACUGAUUGGACUGGCACUGCCUGUCUUCCUGGGACCAUAGAGGACUGGACAGACUGGGGCUGCAUUAUUGUGAUUUCUGUCAGAAGUUUUAGCUGUAUACAAUCUUAUUUGAAGUUCUGUCUUUUUUUCCUUUCUUGCUGAAUCAGCCAGUCGCUGUUCAGACAGUACCCACUUGAAUCUCAUGAAGGUGGGCCAGAUCAAGGUUCCAGACAGAGGAAACAAACCUUCUUAUUGGUUCACUAAUUGAUGUUCAUUUCCAUGUGCUAACUAAAUAAUUAAUGCAUGAUUAACUUUGUGAUGAUUUUCCUGUUUGGGUAGCUUACUUUUGAGAAAGAUGCUCACAUAUCAUGCAGGUUAUUAUAAUUGUGCAAACAGAGCAUUUAAGUGUGUGACAUGAGUAAGUGCUGCCUAUAUUGGUGAUAGGAUAUGCUGCUAAAUUAUAAUAAUGCAUCUUAUUUUGUAUGUCUUAUGCAAGAUUGAUCAUUCUUCUUGAACUUUGAUUACUCAGAUUUUAUUUACUGCCUUGUCAGUUCUUGUUCAAAAACUUAAAUGUUAUUUUGCUAUACUUUUAUCAUAAACAUUUUAGUUUUGACAAAAGAUAAGGUGUAUGUUGUCUGGAACAGAGAUCAUAUUCUAUUCAAAUCUUUUGCCUGAAGUCUUGAGCUAGAGUAUAUAUGCAAAAAUAUCCUUAAUUCCUUUUCCAGAAAAUAAAAGUUAUUCUAAACUUAUCAAGAAUUAGGAAACAUGAGCAGCUAAAAUUAUAAAUAUAAUCUCAUUUUAUCAGACAUUGCCACUUGUCCAUCAUAAGGAAACUGCAUGUGCUUCUUUGAAAGAGAUAGACAUUAGACAUUCGUUAGCUAUUUGCCUAUUACUUUUCAUGGGUAUGGUGAUAGGCUAACCAUACAAGUCUCUGUCUGGUUUGUUCUCCAUAUAUUGAAAUGGGUUGCAUUCCAUCUAGGUCGUUAUUGGUCCGUCCUCUACCUGGGAUGCCAACAUUCCCCUUGCUCCUCUUUCUUUCUAGUUUGUGAACUAUUUUUUAGUUGAUUCUUUUGCAGCGCACCGUUUGUAAUCUCUAUGUUUACAAACUUGUCUGAGUCUGCUCUAUGAAUUGUCGAAUUCAUUGUGAUAAUUUUUUAAUUAUUUCAUAUCAAGAAAGCUCAACGGCAUUUUGCAUGGACUUGCUCAACAAUUUCUUUUUGCAAACCGUUCUAUAACAAGUAAACUGCAGUCAGGCCAUGGACAGGCUUUUGCAAAGGCUGUUUUGUACACACCGUGGUGUUAAUAAAUUUUGCACAGAGGUACUACACUUUUUCAGUACUUGUGGUAUCCGGAACUGGCCACUUUUCUGGAUAAUUGAAGCCAUCCCAGGACCAAAAUUUCGCCAUAUCCUUGUGUUCUCUUGUGUUUCUAACAUCUUCUGUUGGAAUGUGCCCUGCAUUAUCAGUGGUGACCAUGUGACGGUGGGGAGCUAUGAAGUGGCGGUCCUUGCACACAUGUGCAUGCAUGUGUCGAUUUCUUCUUUUCUCAUUGCAUCUUUCAAAUAGGUAUGAUGUAUCUUGAUUCUUUCUUCUUGUUGGAGACCUUUGAGAGGGAGCUCACACUCAUAAUGAGCUAGUGGCAAGGUUAUUGCAAUUAUGCUCAAACAUCAGUGGGAGCGGUCUCACAUGGGUAGUACCAUUCCGACAGAGAACAUUCUGAUUAGAUCUCAAUGGAAUCUGAUUGUAGUUUAGAUUCAACUUGUUAGUUGGUGAAUUACCUUGCUGGCGUUUAACCGUUGCUAAAUCCAGAUAAAGUGAUAAUUACCUCUGAAUUGUUAGAUGUUGAGUGUUAAAUUCCUGUGGACUAGUUGGUUUAGAUUUUCAAAUCACCAGUGCAUCAGUUCCAUUCUGACUAGUCAUUUUCAGUGAGCUCUUCUUCCUCUCUAGAUUCUGCACUUUUGAUUGGUCUUAUCUAAUCCUGUUGCUUGUUUAUUAGUAGCUUAUAUGAUCUGCUCUCUGAGCACUGUUGCUCCAUUAUCAGCAUUUUGGAAUCAUUGUUUGCCCAUAAGAGCAUACCUUUUAUGUUCCUUUUUCGAUGUCACGAUUCUAUUUGAUAACCAGUAUAGUUGAUAUAUAUUUUAAAUUUGAAUAUUCGCAGUGGCUUCUAGUAAUUCUAGCUUCUGCUAUUUUUUUCUGACAAUAAUUGGGUCUCUAAUUUGUUCAUUUUCAUGGUUCAGCAGGCAUCUCAAAUUCUGGGCAGGCAUAUAUUUGCAGGUUUCGCAAGGUCCUAUUCGGAGUACAAGUUCUCUCCAGUAGACGAGCACUGCGUUCGGCAGGCUGGAGCUGGAAUGGUGUGAGAGAAAAAUACUGUUGGGCUGGCUGGAGCUGGAGCUGGUGGCUGGAGUGGUGUGAGAGGAAAAUACUGUAGCGCUGGAGGGGAGAUGACCAGCCGAACGCAGUGGAGGUGGAAUUGGCAAAGGUGAUGGUGCCGCAGAAAGCGAAAUGAUACCCAUGAACAUUUGCGGGAGCGCAAUGAUAAGGUGAAAUUGAGGGCUUAAUUUCGGCGGUACCUUCCUCUUGAUUAGUACGUUGAUUCCUUCACUCCUUCCUUUUUCUGCGGCCAGGAACACUACGUCGUUACUGCUUAUUUUUGUGGUUUAGAGAUGACCACAUUGUGCGCAAGGCGUUUCAAACAUGUUACUGUCUCGGCCCUCUCAUCGCUUAUGUGUCACAUGCAGUACUGCAGGGGCCCCGCUUUGGGACUUGGAAGUUUUGGAGCCUGCAGCGUGGACUUUGCUACCUCGAGGUCACGGCUAGCCGAUGCACUGUACGUGUACCUCAGUUCACUAGACUGCACACUGCAUCGAGAGUUCUUGCAUCUAUAGGUCGGCACAGGCUUUUCAGUUUUAAUUUAACAAACCGCACAAGACCUGCCCAUUUGGUCACCAAGAAUUCAAUUCGAGCUCUCCCCGUCCAUUUGAUCACUGAGAAUUCAAUUCGAGCUUUCCUCACGAUGUGGAGCUUGGAGCAGAUACAGGAUGCGACUAGGACAUUUGCUGGUUGAUCUUGCAGGCGGUUCACUCGAAGAUGAUACGUGGGUGGGUCAGCAGCACGGUUAGACUCGCCCAGCGACGGAUCAUGCCAUAUCUCCUGGUGGUGGGGGAGCGGGGAGCCCCGCCUGAAACCGACCCCCGGUGGGGCCUGCCUGGCUACCGGCCAUAUCGCGUGGCUGGUGCUGGUGCAGGUGCGGCUGGGCUGGGCUCUUCCUGACGACCUGAUCUGGAUUCGCUGAAAGUGGAAGGGAGGGGGCAGCGAUAAACAAAUGGAGAUCGCGCUGGCCCGUCGUCCACACGGCGCCUUUUGGUGGCGGCGCCUCCGCGGCUGAACUCCGAUGUCCGAUCCCUCCCUCCCGACCCGAGCACGGGCAUCACAAGUGCGGGUUCGGCACGAAACAAUGGCGCCGGCGGCCUUGGCGGUCCAUGAACCCCACAAUGAUUAAAGUCUGGAGUCCUGUUAACGGAUUUGUUUAGUGUUUAUGUCGCAUUUGGAGAGCUCUGGAAGACACGCUCGGUAAUGUUAUAGAGAAAUGUGUGCGCGUGCGCUGUUUGUUGUUGCAAA